rnacentral:rRNA from 1 species
GAUGAACGCUGGCGGCGUGCCUAACACAUGCAAGUCGAACGAUGAAACCGCCCUCGGGCGGACAUGAAGUGGCGAACGGGUGAGUAACACGUGACCAACCUGCCCCUUGCUCCGGGACAACCCAGGGAAACCUCGGCUAAUACCGGAUACUCCGCGCAGCCCGCAUGGGAGGCGCGGGAAAGCCCAGACGGCAAGGGAUGGGGUCGCGGCCCAUUAGGUAGACGGCGGGGUAACGGCCCACCGUGCCCGCGAUGGGUAGCCGGGUUGAGAGACCGAUCGGCCACAUUGGGACUGAGAUACGGCCCAGACUCCUACGGGAGGCAGCAGUGGGGAAUUUUGCGCAAUGGGGGAAACCCUGACGCAGCAACGCCGCGUGCGGGACGAAGGCCUUCGGGUUGUAAACCGCUUUCAGCAGGGAAUAUAGUGAAGGUAC